rnacentral:rRNA from 1 species
AACGCUGGCGGCGUGCAUAACACAUGCAAGUCGAACGAUGAACCUUAUUAGAUUUCUUCGGAAUGAAAAUAAGUGGAUUAGUGGCGAACGGGUGAGUAACACGUGAGUAACCUGCCUUACACAAGGGGAUAGCCUUUGGAAACGAAGAAUAAUACCCUAUAACGUCAAAAUAUCGCAUGAUAAAGUGACCAAAGAUUUAUCGGUGUAAGAUGGACUUGCGUCUGAUUAGCUAGUUGGUGAGAUAAAAGCCCACCAAGGCGACGAUCAGUAGCCGGCUUGAGAGAGUGUACGGCCACAUUGGGACUGAGACACGGCCCAAACUCCUACGGGAGGCAGCAGUGGGGAAUUUUGCACAAUGGGGGAAACCCUGAUGCAGCGACGCCGCGUGAUUUAGAAGGCCUUCGGGUUGUAAAAAUCUUUUUUAUGGGAUGAAAAUGACAGUACCAUAAGAAUAAGGUCCGGCUAAAUACGUGCCAGCAGCCGCGGUAAUACGUAUGGACCGAGCGUUGUCCGGAAUCAUUGGGCGUAAAGGGUACGUAGGCGGCCUAGUAAGUUAGAAGUGAAAUAAUAUAGCUCAACUAUAUAAAGCUUUUAAAACUGUUAGGCUUGAGAGAUGAAAGGGAAAGUGGAAUUCCUAGUGUAGCGGUGAAAUGCGCAGAUAUUAGGAAGAAUACCGGUGGCGAAGGCGACUUUCUGGUCAUCAUCUGACGCUGAGGUACGAAAGCGUGGGUAGCAAACAGGAUUAGAUACCCUGGUAGUCCACGCUGUAAACGAUGAGUGUUAGGUUCUUGGAAUAAUCUGGGAGCCGCAGCUAACGCAUUAAACACUCCGCCUGGGGAGUACGCACGCAAGUGUG